CGACCGGCGCACGGGUGAGUAACACGUAUCCAACCUGCCGAUGACUCGGGGAUAGCCUUUCGAAAGAAAGAUUAAUACCCGAUGGCAUAGUUCUUCCGCAUGGUAGAACUAUUAAAGAAUUUCGGUCAUCGAUGGGGAUGCGUUCCAUUAGCUUGUUGGCGGGGUAACGGCCCACCAAGGCAUCGAUGGAUAGGGGUUCUGAGAGGAAGGUCCCCCACAUUGGAACUGAGACACGGUCCAAACUCUUACGGGAGGCAGCAG
rnacentral:rRNA from 1 species